rnacentral:misc_RNA from 1 species
UGCUCAGGAUUUCAAGACUGAUCUCAGGUUCCAGAGCAGUGCUGUUGCAGCUCUUCAAGAGGCAGCAGAGGCGUACCUUGUUGGGCUCUUUGAGGAUACUAAUCUCUGUGCUAUUCACGCUAAGAGAGUGACAAUUAUGCCCAAAGAUAUACAAUUGGCCCGAAGGAUUAGAGGUGAAAGGGCUUGAAAUGAUUGUUAAUAUGUUUGGUAGAUCUUUGUCUUAGGUAUCUGUUUUUAUUUCUAGAUUAAUAUGGCUCUUGUUAGGUCUGUUUAUUUGUCCUUAUCUUUGUAUUGGCUAAGCUAUUUGUAAUCGCUAUGGAAAUCUAAUGGGCAAGUUAUUUUGCUCUUUUUAUUUUAUUUUUUGCAAGUUACAUGCUCGGUGAUUGUUUUCUGCUGUUAAUCAUCAGUCUUUUAAUCUGUAUGCUUCAUAGGGGAUUGCAGGGCUGAGGAAAUAAUUUAUGGGUUAUUUGAAUUGGGUAAUGUGGUUUGUUAUGUGGGAAAGCAUAAUUAACUGGAAUUGGGAAGUCAUGUAUUUUGAGAAUUAGAUGGCAUUUGUUAGGAGGAAUUGAUAGAAGGAUGAAUCUGUUUACUUGCAUUGGAUGGGCU